AUGAACGCUGGCGGCGUGCCUAAUACAUGCCAGUCGAGCGAACAGACGAGGAGCUUGCUCCUCUGACGUUAGCGGCGGACGGGUGAGUAACACGUGGAUAACCUACCUAUAAGACUGGGAUAACUUCGGGAAACCGGAGCUAAUACCGGAUAAUAUAUUGAACCGCAUGGUUCAAUAGUGAAAGACGGUUUUGCUGUCACUUAUAGAUGGAUCCGCGCCGCAUUAGCUAGUUGGUAAGGUAACGGCUUACCAAGGCAACGAUGCGUAGCCGACCUGAGAGGGUGAUCGGCCACACUGGAACUGAGACACGGUCCAGACUCCUACGGGAGGCAGCAGUAGGGAAUCUUCCGCAAUGGGCGAAAGCCUGACGGAGCAACGCCGCGUGAGUGAUGAAGGUCUUCGGAUCGUAAAACUCUGUUAUUAGGGAAGAACAAAUGUGUAAGUAACUAUGCACGUCUUGACGGUACCUAAUCAGAAAGCCACGGCUAACUACGUG
rnacentral:rRNA from 1 species